GACCAACCCUUAAAGACUGCUGCAUCUUCAGGAUAUUCUAGUCCAACAUCGAGGUCACAAACUCUCUUUUCGAUAAGAGCUCUCAAAAAGAAUUAUGCUGUUAUCCCUAUGGUAACUAAUUUCAUUAAUCAAAAUUUCUGGAUCAAUACCUGUCAGUCUUAAUAACGAUAAAGAAGCUUUGCUUGUUCCAUAGUCGCCCCAACCAAAAUUUUCAAUAGAUUAAUAUUUAGAGUUAUAUAUUAUGCUCAAUUCACUUUUUUAAAGCUCAAUAGGGUCUUCUUGUCUUUCAAUACUAUUUAGGUUUCUUCACCUAAAAAUCAAAUUUUAAAAAAUUAUAUAGAGACAGUUUUGUUCACGUCAAACCAUUCAUACUAGCCCUCAAUUAUAGGGCAAAUGAUUAUGCUACCUUUGCACGGUCAGAGUACCGCGGCCGUUAAAACUUAUUCACCGGGCAGGUCCGACUC
rnacentral:rRNA from 1 species